CGGGGAAACUUGUGCUAAUACUAAAUAAGCCUUUACAGGGAAAGCUUUAGCGCCAAAAGAUGAGCCCGCACUUGAUUAGCUAGUUGGUAAGGUAAUGGCUUACCAAGGCUUCGAUCAAUAGCUGAUCUGAGAGGAUGAUCAGCCACAUUGGGACUGAGACACGGCCCAAACUCCUACGGGAGGCAGCAGUGGGGAAUCUUGCACAAUGGGGGAAACCCUGAUGCAGCGAUGCCGCGUGAGUGAAGAAGGCCUUUGGGUUGUAAAGCUCUUUCGUCGGGGAAGAAAAUGACUGUACCCGAAUAAGAAGGUCCGGCUAACUUCGUGCCAGCAGCCGCGGUAAUACGAAGGGACCUAGCGUAGUUCGGAAUUACUGGGCUUAAAGAGCUCGUAGGUGGUUAGAAAAGUUGGUGGUGAAAUCCCAAGGCUUAACCUUGGAACUGCCACCAAAACUUUUUAACUAGAGUAAGAUAGAGGAAAGUGGAAUUUCUAGUGUAGAGGUGAAAUUCGUAGAUAUUAGAAAGAACACCGAUUGCGAAGGCAACUUUCUGGAUCUUUACUGACACUGAGGAGCGAAAGCAUGGGUAGCGAAGAGGAUUAGAUACCCUCGUAGUCCAUGCUGUAAACGAUGUGUGCUAGACGUUGGAAAUUUUAUUUUCAGUGUCGCAGCAAAAGCGUUAAGCACACCGCCUGGGGAGUACGACCGCAAGGUUAAAACUCAAAUGAAUUGACGGGGACCCGCACAAGUAGUGGAGCAUGUGGUUUAAUUCGAAGAUACGCGCAGAACCUUACCAACACUUGACAUGUUCGUCGCGACUUUAAGAGAUUAAAGUUUUCGGUUCGGCCGGACGAAACACAGGUGCUGCAUGGCUGUCGUCAGCUCGUGUCGUGAGAUGUUGGGUUAAGUCCCGC
rnacentral:rRNA from 1 species